ACUGGAAAGAAAGCCAAAGGAAAAAAAGCCUCUAAAAAUGUGUAAAAUUGAUUAUUUAUUCUCGUGUGUGUGUGUGUGUGUGUGUGCGUGUGUUAGAGCUCACUCCACAUGACUUAUCAGAUGCUGUCAACUUUGUACAAUGUUUUUAUGACAUGUUACCUAAAGUAACAGCUUGUGAUGGUGUCAUACUGUCAGUAAAUACUAUUUUAUGUACUGUGAUGGCUCUCUGUUGAUAUUGUCAGAGCAUUAUAUAUAAAAUGAACAAUAAAAC